rnacentral:rRNA from 1 species
CAGUCGCCGCGGUAAUACGAGGGGUGCAAGCGUUAUUCGGAUUGAUUGGGUGUAAAGGGUGUGCAGACGGCUUAUUAAGUCACUUGUUAAAUUCUUCGGCCUAACUGAAGGUCUGCAAGUGAUACUGAUGAGCUAGAGGGUGGAAGAGAGAAGUGGAAUUCUCGGAGUAGCGGUAAAAUGCGUAGAUCUCGAGAGGAACACCAAUGGCGAAGGCAGCUUCUUGGUCCAUUCCUGACGUUCAUACACGAAAGCUAGGGGAGCAAACAGGAUUAGAUACCCCGGUAGUCCCUGUCUCUUAUAC